CAGCCGCCGCGGUAAUACGAAGGGGGCUAGCGUUGUUCGGAAUCACUGGGCGUAAAGCGCACGUAGGCGGACCGUUAAGUCGGAGGUGAAAGCCUGGGGCUCAACCCCAGAACUGCCUUCGAUACUGGCGGUCUUGAGUAUGGUAGAGGUUGGUGGAACUCCGAGUGUAGAGGUGAAAUUCGUAGAUAUUCGGAAGAACACCAGUGGCGAAGGCGGCCAACUGGACCAUUACUGACGCUGAGGUGCGAAAGCGUGGGGAGCAAACAGGAUUAGAUACCCCCGUAGUCCCUGUCUCUUAUAC
rnacentral:rRNA from 1 species